GUGGGGAAUAUUGGACAAUGGGGGGAACCCUGAUCCAGCCAUGCCGCGUGUGUGAAGAAGGCCUUUUGGUUGUAAAGCACUUUAAGCGAGGAGGAGGCUACCGAGAUUAAUACUCUUGGAUAGUGGACGUUACUCGCAGAAUAAGCACCGGCUAACUCUGUGCCAGCAGCCGCGGUAAUACAGAGGGUGCAAGCGUUAAUCGGAUUUACUGGGCGUAAAGCGCGCGUAGGGGGCCAAUUAAGUCAAAUGUGAAAUCCCCGAGCUUAACUUGGGAAUUGCAUUCGAUACUGGUUGGCUAGAGUAUGGGAGAGGAUGGUAGAAUUCCAGGUGUAGCGGUGAAAUGCGUAGAGAUCUGGAGGAAUACCGAUGGCGAAGGCAGCCAUCUGGCCUAAUACUGACACUGAGGUGCGAAAGCAUGGGGAGCAAACAGGAUUAGAAACCCCAGUAGUCC
rnacentral:rRNA from 1 species